GCUCCUGAUGCUGCCAGGCAGUAAGGAAAACAGAUGGCCGUUGCCUUUAAAGCCAGUAACAUUAAUUUCUGUGCCUGUUGUGUAUUUUUGCUCCUUCCCCUCAAUUUUCCCACUCCUGCAGUAGUUCCUGUGGCAGCCAGGCAUUGGCAGACAUGUUGGAAAGCAGCCACGCACGCGGCCACACUGCUAAGGGCAACAUGCGGAAGCCUGGUAUCUGACUAAUGCUCACCAAGUGUUACAAGGCUUGAGCAGAGGGAAAUAUGCAACCUUGUGACCCUGACUCAGAAUAGCCAAACUCCAUCUGCUCUGAAACUUUAAAUGGUAAGAAUGCCUCCAUUUCUUACUGGACAUAUUUGGAGGAUUUUAUCCAGGGAAAGCUCAGAAACUGCAAGUACAGAAUUUCACAAAACCAGAGAAGAAUGAACAGGAACACUUCCAAGUAGGAGGUAAUUGAUGAGCCAUCACAUCAGUGAGGAGGUACUUCCAUGCUGCAUUUCUUGGCUGCUGCAAGAAGCCCAGCUUCUUCUGUUUAGUGCCUAAGAGGUCUUUCUCUCCUGUUAGUUUCCUGGUGAUAACUUAAUUUCAUUUCUUUAUCUGCAUCAAAUUUUCUCAGUAAGAUUCUUCUCCAUAGCAAGAUUCUUCUCCAUAGAUCUCAAGAAAUUGAGAUCCUCUAAAAAUUUAAAGUCAAUGCACUCCUCAGCAGCAAUCUCUUUCCAGUCUGCUGCUCAACUCUUACCCUCUUUUUGUGCUGGCUUCUAAUUUGCCUUAUUCUUUGCUUUUGUUUAUCUAUUCUUUCCAUCCUUCCACUAUGUAUGAAGCAUUAGAAAAAUAGGCACUUCAAGAUAAUGUGCUGCUGUUAGGCAGCUGAACAUUGCAACUCUCAGGGGGCAAGGGAGCAUCUGAAAUGUGGAGUCUUUCCUUCAUCAGGAAAACAAGAGAACACCAAAGAAAACAGAAUUUCUGUAAAAAGUUUGCUAUAUGUUGUCCAGUCUCUGCUUAAAGCUUUCAGAUUUGUGUAACUUUUCUCUAGAACCAAUAUAACUUAUAUGUGAAAAAAGCCCCCCUGCUUCAAACUAGGGAAUUAUUUGGUUUAUGCUACUGUGGUGUCAUUAAUAUAUUUUUAAUCCAUGGUCUUGUCCUGUUGUUUUUACAUGCAUGAAGUAGCACCUCACAACUGCUAUUCAACUAUGUGGCUGCUGUAGCUGGGUUUCCUGUUACACAACUCAACACUCUGGUUUUAAACCAACAAAUGCCACCUGUCUGUACCAACCAGGAGGCAGCCCACAGUCAAGGCAGCUUCUUUUCCCACUUGCUAAUUGGUUCACCCUUUUUUUUCUCAGUCAGAAUGCAUUACUAGAGAUGCCUGUGCUUUAUUCAGGUCAUUCUUGGUGUGAGUUAUUUGCAAGUAUAAGCCUGCAAGCAAAUUCAUUGUAGGUGUAUUUUCCAAGCUGUGAGAAGAAGACUAUAAGCAUUACAUAUAACCUGAGGUGUACCAUGUAAUUUAUAACAUAUAAAUAAAUUAUUAAAUUUGUCUUUCUUUUUUCAUUUGCCAAAUAUCAUAAUUUGAUUUUUAUGGGCAUGUGUUGGUGCCCCCAGCAGGUUCUUAGAAAAAUUAAAUCUGGAAUCCUGUGAACCAAAUGUUGCAGAAAGAAUUAACUUGUUUACUGUAUUGUGAUGAAUGGAAUAGCUGCAUUGAGUGUAUAUGAAGCUGCACAAUUAAUUACUACAUAAAUGACUUGUCAAGUGCAAAAGUGUGUCAUGCAUGAUCUUUACCUACAGCAGACUGUAUUGCAUUGUAGAAGUAAAUAUAAAGCUCUGAAUGCUUUCAUUAUAGGACUUCUGGGAUGCCAACUACAGUCCUGUUCUUAGAGUAGUAAAGAACACACAAGCAAAAAGGAAAUCUCAGACUUAUUAAACACCCUGGACUUUCUUUGCAUGUAUUUAUGAAAUAAUCACUUGCACCAGAAUAAUUUUUGAAUUUGAUCUGAAUUGCACUCAUAGUAGUGUAUCUUUUUUACUGAAAGAAUUUACAGAAAAUAAUUAAAAGACCUGUUUCUUUAGUCACUGCAGAUCACAAGUCAUUAUUUCCUAUAAUGUCUAAUUAAGUUACAUGACUUAAUUAUAUAGGACUAAUUCACAGAGCUUUUUAGGAGUGCUUAUUUUGUGAUAUGUAUAAUGUUUUACAGCUCUCAAUUUUGCAAACAAGGAAUCAGUGUGACAGCUGAGCCAUUGGGAGCUAGAGAAGGAAGGCUGUUGAAAACACCUUUCACCCACAUGACAGAAAUUUUAUUUGCCUGGAAUCGAAGUAACACAUUCCUUUUGCACUUGAAAACCUCAAAUUAUAAGGGGAGGUGUGGUAGUCACAUAAAUAAAAGUGUCUACUACUGAGAGGUUGUUUUGUGAAUUAUCACAAAGGAGUUCUGAGAGAGUGCAGUCAAAUGAUUUUAUGCCCCAUAUCUCAUGAAUAAUACACAUACAGAAAUAAAUAGAAGAAUCUCAGAGUCUUGACAUUGCAUCAGAGUCUUGACAUUGCAUCAGAACUUUGUUUUUUAAGUGUCUAUGCAUCAAUACAAAAAAAUUAGAGAAAAAAUGGAUACAUUUGACUUCUGGAACUGAAGAGAAGUUAGGAGAAAUGGGGAACAGAGCAGGAAGAGUAAAUGUCCCAUAGUGAUCAAGCAAUGUUGAAAUUAGAUUUGGGUUUGAAGGUGUAUCUAUCUGUAUCUAGCAGAGAGAACUGACACUAAGUUGUGAAGAUAAAACUUGGCCUGAACAGUUAAAAUAUGCUCAUCUGGCUCUGCAGGUAAGCAAAACCACUUUUUUUUCAGCCUUUGAUGAAAAUCUAUGAAAUAUAGCAAAGCUGGCAGGGAAGGAUAAAGGAAUAGGAAAGUAGACAUAUAGACAAGAAGAAUUUUCAUCUGCUUUUGUACUUUGGGUGAAAGAAUUACUAAAUAAUUACAAUCUAAUAAUUAAUUCUGUUAGCCCUGGUAAGUAUGUUCCAGAGAAAGUGAGACAAAGAGCUGACAAUGCAGUGUGGACAAGGCACACUGGAGUUCCCAAGCACAUGCUUUGUGUUCUAAAUGAACACUUGUAGGGUGAGGCCCAGAGGCAGCACAGCUGCUUUCAGGCAGUGAGGAGCUGAAAUAACCUGUCAGGCUCUUGUGGGGAUGUGGAGAGCCAGCCCAGCACUCCAUGAAUCCCAUUCCUAUGACUGGGCACAAAGCCCAGUGAUUCAGCCCCUGCUGAUCAGUCUGAUUUGGGUCUGUUAAGAAGCACUGAUGUGUCUGCCCUGUGCUCCCAGAACAAGGAGCAGGCUGUGUGGCUCCAGUAUGGCACCAAGUUCUACUGUCUCCCAAAUAUUGUACUGAAAAGGGUCACAGUGCAGUCUGAGCCCAGCCUGCCUUGUAUCUUAGGGAACUGCAAAGUAUUUCCCUGAUAUUUAUCACCUUGAAAUUCCUUAUGUUGUCCUGGGUUCUGCAUACAAAAAUUUGUUUUAACACAGUAUGCUGAUGUGUUCAUAAUAAAGCAAUGAUAAAUUAACAUUUAUUAAAUGCAUUAAAGCAUUACAUCUUCAGAGAACUAUACUACAUUAUCUACUCUUAAUUACUCUUGACAAUACUCCUGUGACUAAGUUAAAACUUGUUUAUUUAUUUCAAUAGACUUUCCUGUGAACUAACUGGGGAGUUAUCCUGAGUGAGAAGAAUAGGAACAAGAAAAAGUCAGAACACAGAAUGAUGCAGGAAGGAAAGGAAGUCCUUACUUGUGAAACUCUCUUUCUAGGAUACUGUAUGCUGGUUUUUUUACUUAGCACUGAAGAGGAGAAUUGUUAUGUUGCUCUACAGGGCAGUUUUAUUAAUACAUGCAUUGGUUUAAAGCAUGUACAUCAUCACAUCUUUUGCAGCCCUCACAGCAUACAAAUCUAAAAGAACUCAAUGCAGGUUUCUGUGUCUUUAUUCCACUACAGGCUGAUCACUCCUCUGAAGCCCACAGGUGCUGUGUGUGUACAACUGAACCAUUUUGGUUCCUACAACCCUAACCACACUGAAUGUGGUGCUGCUCUGUUCUAAAUAUGGAUCACAGUCCUGUCAGUCUCCGUCUUUCUCCCAAGACUUCUUUGCUUGAGGUAGAAUUCAUGUGCUCAUUCUGGACUUCUACUGUUUAAAUUGGCUUCCAUACACCAUGCUUAAAAUCAGCUUCAGUGAAAUUAUUACUGCAGUUACUUGAAACUCCUUGAAGUUUUUGGUAUAAUUAGUGGUAUAAAGAGUUUUCCACAGUAGCUCUUCUUUGUAAUCUAUUACUGUGUAAUCUUAAUAAACCAAAUAAGUAAUUUUAUUUCAAGCUCCAACAACUAUGAUUUAGUCUUUUGGUUCAUAUUUUUCACAGCAAAUUUGAAGAGAAUUGAAGAAAAUUUAUUUUUUUCUGGAAAACUUAAGCAAGAUCUCAUUGGCUGCAUUUCAGUAAAAGUGAGGGAAUGAGUAUUUGUACUGGCCAGAAAAAGCAAAGAAAUAGGCAAAGUACUAAAUUCAGAAUGAUUUGCCUUAUGUCCCAUAAUGCAAACAGCAGUUUGGACCCUACACAUUUGAACUCUUAUUCUUACAGGCAUGGCAUAACUUGCAGGCUGGCUAAUUUUGUUUUCUAUAGUUUAAGGGGUUCUUAAGAGCAUGGCCCUGUAACUCCUUCCUAAACUGUGGGAACUUAAAAGGCCAACUGAUCUUUCACAGACCUCAGCUGGCAAUUCUCCAUUUCUCAGCAGCAAUCACCUUUGGAAGCAGCUUCCAUUUUAAUUUUUUGGCUGCAUUAUCACAUCUCAGAUUCUAAAAAGUCCCAUUAGCCUUCUGUUCAAUAAGGAGAAAUUAAAUCUCAAAUACAUUUUUUAAUAAUAUUUUUAAUACAAGUGCAUAGCUUAAGAAUGAGCACUGUGAGGCAGCAGGAGGAGGUACAGGGUAUAAACUAAUGAAGUGUGCUUUAGCAUUUUCAUUCUAGUAUAUGUUGUCACAAGGGAGUGGGCACUUGACCCCAUUAACAUAAGGCCAGUACUCUGAAAUUACAUUUCCUAGGCUUGUUAUGGUCUGAAUUCUUAAGAGUCACAGGAGAAUCUGUAUUCUAUUUGACUUGUCGUGUGAGAUAUAUGAUGCUUAUUUGGUACUUUUCAUUUCAAGAGAAAAUGAACUGUCCUGGGGUCAGGGAUUUCUGAUUACAAUAGUCAGGAGCUUGUGACAUUUCUGUGCAGUUUGGAGACUCUCUGGUUGACACAGGCUGAUAUCUGAACUACUCAAAUAUUUAUUCCUUGCUAAGUUUCUCUGAGAAGUUUCACUGGUGUCUUAAU